rnacentral:misc_RNA from 1 species
UCCCCGUUACCGGGGCAGUCUAGCCAGAGAAAUCCAACUGACUAUAGGGGUUGCGCUCGUUGAAGGACUUAACCUAACAUCUCACGACACGAGCUGAAGACGGCCAUGCAACACCUGUCACUACGGUCCGAAGACACUUUCUCCUUUCGGAGAAAUUAGUAGGAUGUCAAACCCUGGUAAGGUUCUUCGCUUACCAUCGAAUUAAAGAACACGCUCCACCGCUUGUGCGGGUCCCCGUCAAUUCCUUUAUGUUUUAAGCUUGCGCUCGUACUCCACAGGCGGGAUGCUUAACGCGUUAGCUUCGCUACUAGACGGGUCGAUACGUCUAACAGCCAGCAUCCAUAGUUUACGGCGUGGACUAC